rnacentral:lncRNA from 1 species
GUCUAAUCGUGGAUUGGAGGGUUUUGUUUUUCUUGUUUUGUUUUGCUUUCUUUUGAUUUUUAGCUGAGUUCUUCCCUCUGAGUCUAACGCGCACUGGCAUUUUACGGGUGUAUGUCAAAGGGGGCUGAAUGAUCGAAGCCCGGGUCUUGAUUUCAUCAUUCUCUCCUGCUCCCGUGUCUGUCAGAUGUUUUUUCUCUUACUCUCUCCCUUCCACCCAAGUGCCAGGUCAUCAGCUUACGUUGCCACCUCGUUACAGGUGGUGGUCCUUACGAACACUCCUUUGGAGUACCAGCUACAGGUGGGUGAGGUCUGUCACAGCCGUGGAAUCAAGCUGGUGGUGGCAGAUACUCGGGGCUUGUUUGGGCAGCUGUUCUGUGACUUUGGAGAGGAAAUGAUUGUCAGAGAUUCCACUGGGGAAGAGCCACUGAGCGCUGUGAUUUCCGUGGUCACCAAGGUGAGGAGACCGGGACUUGUGAUCUGCACAUGGGCAGAACUGUCUCAUCUCUGAACUCAGCUCUGAAGCCCACUCCUUUCCAACCAGGACUGCCCUGGAGUUGUCACCUGCCUGGAGGAAGCCCAGCAUGGGUUUGAGAGCGGCGAUUUUGUCUCCUUCUCGCAAGUCCAGGGCAUGAGUGAACUCAAUGACAUGCGGCCCAUAGAGAUCCAAGUCCUAGGUAUACCAGGGCUGGGGGUGGUGAGAAAUGGUUGGCCAGAGCAGACGGAAAGUGAUUGGUGGGUGAGGCUUGUCCCAGGUGCGCAUUUCUGUGGUCUGAGCCGAAUUGGAGGCCAGAAGAGAGGUGGGACUGCAAUCUGAGCUGGGGUGCAGGAGAGACGGGCACGGGGUCUGACUGCAAAUACGUUGCCCAGAAAGAUGAAGGAAGAAGAACUUUAUGGUACUAGUGUUUUCCAUUUCCUUUG